UCCUUGGUUGUCCAGUGGCUAAGACUCCUGCUCCCAAUGCAGGGGGCCUGGGUUCGAUCCCUGGCUGGGGAA
rnacentral:tRNA from 1 species